rnacentral:rRNA from 1 species
GACGUAGGGGGCAAGCGUUGUUCGGAAUUACUGGGCGUAAAGGGUUUGUAGGCUGAAAUGUAAGUCAAGUGUGAAAUCCCCGAGCUAAACUUGGGACGUGCAUUUGAAACUGUGUUUCUUGAGUAUCGUAGAGGGUGGUGGAAUUGUAGGUGUAGGAGUGACAUCCGUAGAGAUCUGCAGGAACAUCAGAGGCGAAGGCGACCACCUGGCCGAUUACUGACGCUGAGGAACGAAAGCGUGGGGAGCAAACAGG